GACGUCUGUUUCCUGAGGGCUUCUGGGGAUGCAGGUCAGGCACCUGCCAUGGUUCCCAAAAACAGAGAGGAUCACUGACCUCGCUAGGAUUUGCGGAGUUGUCUAAAACGAUGGGAGAAAGAACAGGAUCCUCCGGAAGAGAAUUCCUUUAACUCACCCAGCUGGUCAUCGGAGUCCCGUGUUGGAUGGAGCUACAGCAGGGGCAAGGCUCCUCACCCAAUUCAUCCACCAAGUUGUUCAAACAACCACCCAAGAAUAUGUAAAUGGGGCCUUCCUGUUAUGAGAACAACAAUCAACAACCACCUCAGAACACAAAAUCCCACCAGCCAAGCCUCAUGAGAAGGAAACCUCCUUCCCCCCGACAGCAGGAAGCGGCCAGAAUGAGCUGACACCCCCUUUCCUCCACCCUUCACGUGUGAGUCUGGCUCUCCACUCUUAGACCUACUUUAUUUUUUAUUAUUAUAAUCAAAACCUACUAAUGACAGAACUAGGCCCCAACCCUAGCCCCCAUAACAGUUACAGCUUGCA
rnacentral:lncRNA from 1 species